rnacentral:tRNA from 1 species
AACUAAGAUACGAGGCGGGCUGCUAACUUGCUUUAAGUUUUUAAUAGAACUAUUAGUUU